rnacentral:lncRNA from 1 species
UGGUGGACAUGCAGCGAGGCCUACACAGAGCGGUACAAACGGGCACAUGCAGACGGAAUCUCGAGACUCAUUCAUAGCUCCGCCCCUCCAAGGCAGCGUGCAAGGCCUGAUUGGUGCACCACGUUCGGGGUUGGGGCGGCUGCAGCCCUCCUGCUUGCUCUGAAACAAUGGAGUGGAGAGACACUCAUCAGAAAGGACACAGCGCACUGCUGAGAGUUGAGGGACGCUCAUGACUCAGUUACUCGAGAAAAGAAAAAAAGAAAAAAAAAAAAAAAGAAGAAGAAGAAGAGGAAUGUUGGCAGAAGACUCGUCGGGUGUUGUAGUCACCACCGAGAAAUCCCCAGGUCUGGGACAUCGGCGUUGGCAAAGAUAGACUACCUUGUAAGCCACUCUGGCCGGACACUUCUUCCCCAGGCCCAGGGGCGGGGACAUGUGUCUCAGCAUCUGAUACAUGUCCGGUUCGGGAGGAGGUGACAAUACAGCCAGAAGAUCUGAGAUGGCUCCUUACCAGGCAGCAGGGUCAUACUCUGCCCAGACACGCACAUAUUCAUCCAGGUGGUGGGGGCCCAGGAUGGAGGAAUCUCGGUCCCAGUUUCUAGGGAUUCAUUGGCCUGAGUCAGUGCCAGGGGUGAAGACAUGGCCCUCCUCUGCGUGCGCAGACUCACCAGAAACGAGCACAGGAAGAUGAAUGAGACAAAGUAGAAGUACGCAAACUCGUUGCCGCAGUCCGCUGUGUGGAUCCCGGAGUUCUUAUCGCACGGCUUCCCGCUGAGGCAGGAGAGCAUGAUGUUGUGCCACGCUUCUCCUGUGGCGCUCCUGAGGAUACGCAGCAUCAGUGAUCUGGGCUCCGGCCCCAGAUGGACACUACUGCCUCCCUAGAGGGGUAAGGCCUGAGGCUCUGGGCUAGCCAGUCAAGGGUUCGAGGCCCAGGGGACCCUCCCCUUUCCCUAAGUGCUCAAAGGGCCACGUUCAAGCCUGGUUGUGCCUUAAAUGUCCACGGGGAGGCGUCAGUGAGGUAGCUCAGUAAGCACAAGGCCUGCUCACCUGAGUUUAGCCUUGGGACCCACACUAUAAAAAGGGGAGAAGUGACUUCCACAAGCUGCCCUUGAUCUCUUCCUAUGUGCCACGACAGGUGCACCCACACCCAUUAAAACUCUAUACGUGUAAGGAAAAUAAAAGCAAGUCCGCAGCAAGCACUGAAAUGUCUGG